rnacentral:lncRNA from 1 species
CUACACUAGAGAUCAUGAGAAGAAUAUUUUUUUCUUUUUUUUCCUAAAAUCCAUGCACAAGAUCUCUAUACUAGAGAUCUAAAAGAAUAUGUCCAACUCUUGAACAAAGGAGAAAGAAAAAUUUAUAUUCAAAACUUGGACAAAAAGGGAGAGAGAAGAUCCUAACAACCAACCUUUGGUUGUUGGUAAGAAAGAAAGGAUAAGGGCCAACAAACCUCACACCA